rnacentral:rRNA from 1 species
GGCGCUGACGAGUGGCGGACGGGUGAGUAAUACAUAGGAAUCUACCCAGUAGUGGGGGAUAACUUGGAGAAAUCCAUGCUAAUACCGCAUGYGYCCUACGGGGCAAAGCAGGGGACCUUCGGGCCUUGCGCUAUUGGAUGAGCCUAUGUCGGAUUAGCUAGUUGGUAGGGUAAAGGCCUACCAAGGCGACGAUCCGUAGCUGGUCUGAGAGGAUGAUCAGCCACACUGGAACUGAGACACGGUCCAGACUCCUACGGGAGGCAGCAGUGGGGAAUAUUGCACAAUGGGCGCAAGCCUGAUGCAGCAAUGCCGCGUGUGUGAAGAAGGCCUGCGGGUUGUAAAGCACUUUUAUUGGGAAAGAAAAACCCGGAGCUAAUACCUCCGGCAUUGACGGUACCCAAAGAAUAAGCACCGGCUAACUCAGUGCCAGCAGCCGCGGUAAUACUGAGGGUGCGAGCGUUAAUCGGAAUUACUGGGCGUAAAGCGAGUGUAGGCGGUUACCUAAGUCGGAUGUGAAAGCCCCGGGCUUAACCUGGGAAUUGCAUUCGAUACUGGGUGACUGGAGUUUGGUAGAGGUAAGUGGAAUUCCGGGUGUAGCGGUGAAAUGCGUAGAUAUCCGGAGGAACAUCAGUGGCGAAGGCGGCUUACUGGACCAAAACUGACGCUGAGGCUCGAAAGCGUGGGUAGCAAACAGGAUUAGAUACCCUGGUAGUCCACGCCCUAAACUAUGUCAACUAGACGUUGGGCUCAUUAAUGAGCUUAGUGUCGUAGCUAACGCGUUAAGUUGACCGCCU